rnacentral:lncRNA from 1 species
AUGUUGCCCAGGCUGGUCUUAAACUCCUGGGCUCAAGUGAUCCUCCCACCUCGGCCUCCCAAAGUGCUGGGAUUCCAGGUGUGAGCCACAUCCCCGGCUGGAACAAGAUGCUGGUGAAAGCGCUAGGGCUAGAGACCAAGGCUCUGCUGGUUUUAUGAUUGUUUUUUUGGGGGGUAGGAGGGUUGACUUCAUGUUUGAAUUUUCACCAGGUAAAGAAUGACAGUGCGGGGUGCAUCAUGGCACACAGCAGAAACACACUGAGAUGGUUUGUAACUGAGGGCUCACUGUCCUUUCCUAACCUUUUAGGUCUAAACAAGCUACGGCAAACGUGUCUGUCAGGAGCACGGGAGGGCAGAUGUGGUUUCCCUGGCGUAGAGGUCUGGGUGUGGUUACUUGUGGCAUCGGGGCCUGGGGAGGAGAGCGGUUCCCACCCAGCCCCAAGACCCAGGCUCCUGCCCGCGUCCCGACGUGUUCCUUCUGAUGCAAUGUCACUUGGGGUCACCUCCUCGCCAUGCAGCUGCUGUCUAGGAGAUGCAUGGUGUGUGCUGGGGGCUGAGCAGGGUGCUGGGAAAUCUGGUGUGCCCACCUCACAGGCCGGGGGUCCCUGGGGGCACUGCAGCAGCCUGGAGGGUCUGUGCCCCUGGAGAGUGGCAGCUGCAGCUGGCUCCACUUGAGACCACAUUUGAAACGUGAGCACUCGGGCUGGCCCAUUUUCCCACAGGGGGCAAAAUGAGCAUUUACAUGAAAUCCCAAUGCCAGAUGGCGGUGGCUGAGCCAGCCAGACAGAAAGUGAAACACCAAUGAGCCGAAGACAGCUCCCCUUUGAGACGCUUAGCCAGUAAGUCUGCACUGGCCGCAUCCCACCCAGGAGGACCCCGAUGCUGGCCUGAGGCAGCUGUCACCCCGCCGGUCCGCAUCAUACUCAGCUCCGUGGCAGCCUACAGCAUCACCUGUCCCUGGCUCAUUCGCCCUUCAGCUCCUGCAGUCCCGGAUGCCUCGCUCCCUGGGGUCUCUGUCCCCUGUGUUGGGGGACGCCUUGGCUGCUGUGUGGGCUCUGCCCCCAGAGGGCACCGGACCACAUCUAGGGACAUCUGUGGUUGUCACAACUGGAGGUGCUCCUGGCAUGGAGUGGGUGGAGGCCAGGGAUGCCACUUGGUGCACAGGAUGGCCCCGCCCCAGAGAACCACCCGGCCCUGGCGUCCAUGGUGUCCCUGCUCUAACUUUGAAGAGCCUGGGCCGGGCUCCCGGACCACCCCACCUCUCUAUCCAGAAGUGACCCUUGGGAGCUCUGUCCCAUCCCGAGGCUGACACUGUCAGUGUGCAAGGACACCUGCAAUCCCACCAGGAGUCUCGGUUCCCUGAGCUCCAGGCACGGGAACUGGCCCAUACAGCAUCUCCACUACCGGGCACCUCAACUUGAACACAUCCAAACCCGACUCUGGAUUUUUUCUCUCCUAGAACAGUCCCUCUCUGAGUCUGUCUUAGACUGGACCUGCGGAGCCCUCCGGGCAUCCAUGCCGCCUCCCUCCUCUCUGAUCCCCCACCCUUUCCACUGCAAACGGUGUGGGCUCAGCUGUCCAAGCACAUCCAGAAUCAGACCCACCAGGACAGCUCAGCCACUGCCAUGACAGCAAGCCUGUCGCCUCUCCCGGCCCCUGGGCCUGUGUGCAAGCUGCAACCAGAGGAGUCAUCUGAAACUGAGUGAACAAUUCCAUCACAGCUACCUACAGCAGGAGCUGGCAAAUGUUUCUACAAAGGGCUAGACAGUAAAUCUUGGCCUUGCACAACAGUUUCUGCUGGGACUACCCAGUUCUGCUGCUGCAGCACAAAAGCGACCACAGACAGUCUCUGUAAACAAGUGGCUGUGGCUCAGUG